rnacentral:rRNA from 1 species
AGUGAACGCUGGCGGUAGGCCUAACACAUGCAAGUCGAACGGCAGCACAGUAAGAGCUUGCUCUUACGGGUGGCGGGUGGCGGACUGGUGAGGAAUACAUCGGAAUCUACUUUUUCGUGGGGGAUAACGUAGGGAAACUUACGCUAAUACCGCAUACGACCUACGGGUGAAAGCAGGGGAUCUUCGGACCUUGCGCGAUUGAAUGAGCCGAUGUCGGAUUAGCUAGUUGGCGGGGUAAAGGCCCACCAAGGCGACGAUCCGUAGCUGGUCUGAGAGGAUGAUCAGCCACACUGGAACUGAGACACGGUCCAGACUCCUACGGGAGGCAGCAGUGGGGAAUAUUGGACAAUGGGCGCAAGCCUGAUCCAGCCAUACCGCGUGGGUGAAGAAGGCCUUCGGGUUGUAAAGCCCUUUUGUUGGGAAAGAAAAGCAGCAGGUUAAUACCCCGCUGUUCUGACGGUACCCAAAGAAUAAGCACCGGCUAACUUCGUG